AUUGAACGCUGGCGGAAUGCUUUACACAUGCAAGUCGAACGGCAGCACGGACUUCGGGCUGUUGGCGAGUGGCGAACGGGUGCGUAAUGUAUCGGAACGUGCCCAGACGUGGGGGAUAACGUAGUGAAAACUACGCUAAUACCGCAUACGAUCUAUGGAUGAAAGCGGGGGAUCGCAAGACCUCGCGCGAUUGGAGCGGCCGAUAUCAGAUUAGGUAGUUGGUGGGGUAAAGGCCCACCAAGCCCACGAUCUGUAGCUGGUCUGUGAGGACGACCAGCCACACUGGAACUGAGACACGGUCCAGACUCCUACGGGAGGCAGCAGUGGGGAAUUUUGGACAAUGGGCGAAAGCCUGAUCCAGCCAUUCCGCGUGCAGGAUGAAGGCCCUCGGGUUGUAAACUGCUUUUGUACAGAACGAAAAGGUUUCUACUAAUACUAGGAGCUCAUGACGGUACUGUAAGAAUAAGCACCGGCUAACUACGUGCCAGCAGCCGCCGCCG
rnacentral:rRNA from 1 species